GACGAACGCUGGCGGCGUGCUUAACACAUGCAAGUCGAACGAAGUGGCGAACGGGUGAGUAACGCGUAAUCAACCUGCCCUUCAGAGGGGGACAACAGUUGGAAACGACUGCUAAUACCGCAUACUUACUGCGGGGAUUGCGUCUGAUUAGCUAGUUGGGAGGGUAACGGCCCACGACGGCGAUGAUCGGUAGACGGUCGGAGAGGAUGAACGGCCACAUUGGGACUGAGACACGGCCCAGACUCCUACGGGAGGCAGCAGUGGGGAAUCUUCCGCAAUGGACGAAAGUCUGACGGAGCAACGCCGCGUGAGUGAUGACGGCCUUCGGGUUGUAAAGCUCUGUUAAUCGGGACGCGGGACCGGAAUAGAAAGCCACGGCUAACUACGUGCCAGCAGCCGCGUAAUUC
rnacentral:rRNA from 1 species